CUCGCCGCCAGCCGCGCCACCCGAAUUCCCUCCCUGCCUCUGCCCUCUAGUCCGCCGCCACCCUCUCUGUCUGCUUCCCGUCCCCAGCCACCACUACACCGACGCCGAUCUGCCCGUUUGCUGCCUGGUCCGACCUCCAUGCUACCUCCACCGCCAAUUCAUGGAUGGCUUGUCGACCAUCGCCCAGUCCAUCUCUGGUGCCUUCCCCAGCUUUGUUUCUCACCGCGUGCCUCACCAAGAUCUGGACGCUGCAUCACCACCCCUCCAUCACUCACUACUUGAGAUGUAGAUGGUGAUUUACAAGAUUGGUUUCGUCCAGUGACUAACAAGACGGCGACGGCGGGAGAUACCAGGUUUGGGAGAGGCAACCCGAUGAUGCAGAUAGGCUAGGAGAUGGGUCGGAAAAUCUGCAAGGAACCCGGCUACAGCACCGUUAGAUCUGUUCCCCUUCAACUACUCGAGGGUAAUAUUUCGCUGCUUCCUUUUUCUUCCAUAAUUUCCCAAUGUAAGAUUUGUGAUCUGGAAUUUGCAGUCUUCUAACCACCUAUUUGAGAUCUCCUUUUCCUAGUUGCAGUUCAUCUAGAUCAGGAGUAAGAUCAAUGUCCUUUGCUCUUAUCAAAGGCGCAUUAAUCGACUGCUCACCGUAGGUAGCAGGACUGGGUUUGCAAUAUCAAGAUAAUCUUAUCGACCUUGCUAUGUUGAUUGAGGAAGCAUCGUACAACUGCAGUGCAAGUACACAAUUAGCUGUAGCUGCUGGGGAAGUUUAUAGGCAUUGGGGGGAGUUAGCCGUGAGACUUGAAGCACAAGACAAAGCAUUUGAAGAGAUGCAAAGGAAGCAUCAAGAAGAAUUGGAAGCUGUGAAGAAGAGCCAACAAAAGAAGAAUGAAGCCUGGGAAAAGAAGCAACACGAUACAGAUAACCUGAUUGGUUUUCUCUUAAGGGCUCAAGCAACUCAGCAAGAAUCCAUUUUCUUGUCUAUUGACGUGUCAAACUUGAGUCGGUGUUAUUUUGAUUGUCAUUUCUAAUUGGAGGAUGUUUUGGCUUAGAGAUAGAAUAUAUAAUAGGAUUUUUCUUUCGUUUCAUAAUGUGAUUUGGCUCACAAUUUAUGUAUAUAAUG